rnacentral:lncRNA from 1 species
UUUUUUUUUUUUCCCAAGAAGAAUCAGCUCUAAGCAAGAGAAAUUUCCCAUUAAAAUAUUUCAGACUCAGGAAUUUCUAGAGGCAGUUGAACAUGGGAGGCUCAUUCUAGCCCAGCCACUACUGUUUCUGGGCUCUCUCUGGUUGGAGAUAUUUCAGUGCAUGAGCAACUACUCCUUGGCACUGUGGCCAGGAUCCUUUUCUUCCAUUUUCAGGAGUGCAGGCUGGGAAACAGAGUAAAUGCAAAGCAAAGCCAGCAUGUGAGUGGCAAGACCUCCACUGCCUAUUACAGGGUCUGAAGUGCUUAAUUGAUUUUGUUACCUGAAACUCUCUUGAAGUAAUUGCUCCAUCAUUACUCCUAUGUUAAUCCUUGACCAUUUUUACCAUUACUUUACUCCAGACAACUACCUUCUACACUGCAUGCUUCCAGACCAAGUGCAGGAAGUAAUAACAGGAAUAAAACGAAGGCAAUGAGAGAAAUGAAGUACAUGGGGAAGGAUGAUUUCAGUUUACACCUUCUUCAGCUGGCACAAACCUUUAUGGAAUGGUAAAACCACAUGAAGAUUAAAUACCUGGAAGGAAAAUGUCAGCAGUCCCUAGAUGUAACCCACUGACCCAUUCCAGUCUCAAUGAAACACCCAAAUCAAGCCUGCUUUUUGGUCAGGAGCAGUGACACCUGCCAGGCUCAGGAAUGCCUCUGAGCCAAUUUGUCUGCUGGUUACCUGGCUGAGGACUAUUGAGAAGCUUCAGUCUACUCCUAUUCCUGUUCUCAAAAGCACUGAAAAACUCCUCCAGCUCAGUGACUGAAAGACAAAUCCUUUCCAAGCCACCCAAACAGCUGCCAGUCAAUUCCCAUGGAGCCUCCAGUGUUUAUUGCACUAUGCGUAUUAUGAUGGAAGAUCAAAAAGGAGAAAGAGAUUUAGUAAACAUACAUACCAUUAACACCACAGAGGAUGUCCAAUCUUCUGUCCAAUCUGCUGCAACAUAAAUUUCAUGAUGAAAGAACCUGGAAAGUGUUAAAACAGUUAGUUAUAUAUAACACUUCA